rnacentral:tRNA from 1 species
AGUGAGAUGCCUGAUAAAAGGAUUAUUUUGAUAGAAUAAAUUAUACGGAGAUUUCUGUACUCACUA